CCCUUAGAUGUCCUGGGCCGCACGCGCGCUACACUGAUGCAUUCAACGAGCCUAUCCUUGACCGACAGGUCCGGGUAAUCUUUGAAUCUGCAUCGUGACGGGGAUAGAUUAUUGCAAUUAUUAAUCUUCAACGAGGAAUGCCUAGUAGGCGCAAGUCAUCAGCUUGCGUCGAUUACGUCCCUGCCCUUUGUACACACCGCCCGUCGCUCCUACCGAUUGGGUGUGCUGGUGAAAUGUUCGGAUCGGCCGUUUGUCGCGGUUUCCGCGUCAUGUGGCUGAGAAGUUCAUUAAACCCUCCCACCUAGAGGAAGGAGAAGUCGCGACA
rnacentral:rRNA from 1 species